rnacentral:rRNA from 1 species
CCUACGGGAGGCUGCAGUCGAGAAUCAUUCACAAUGGGGGAAACCCUGAUGGUGCGACGCCGCGUGGGGGAAUGAAGGUCUUCGGAUUGUAAACUCCUGUCAUGUGGGAGCAAAUUAAAAAGAUAGUACCACAAGAGGAAGAGACGGCUAACUCUGUGCCAGCAGCCGCGGUAAUACAGAGGUCUCAAGCGUUGUUCGGAAUCACUGGGCGUAAAGCGUGCGUAGGCUGUUUCGUAAGUCGUGUGUGAAAGGCGCGGGCUCAACCCGCGGACGGCACAUGAUACUGCGAGACUAGAGUAAUGGAGGGGGAACCGGAAUUCUCGGUGUAGCAGUGAAAUGCGUAGAUAUCGAGAGGAACACUCGUGGCGAAGGCGGGUUCCUGGACCGCGACUGACGUUGAGGCUCGAAAGCGUGGGGAGCGAACAGGAUUAGAUACCCCAGUAGUC